CUUUCAGAGUCGCAAAAAUUGAGACAAAAUAAGAAAAAAAGCUGCCACAAAAUAUUCAAAUCUCCGACAAGUAUGGCAAUAAAAAGAUGUGGAGUUUGCGACGAAGCACAAUCCAAAUAUAAAUGUCCUACCUGCCUUAUACCCUAGUAAGCUUUUCUUUCUGUGUAAAUUUUGUAUUAGAUUUUCUGAAAUUUUUUUAUCUUGAAAUUGACUGAUUAAUUUCGGUUGGAUUUUAUUUUUCCACUCGCAGUUGUUCGUUGAUAUGUUUUAAGAAACACAAAGGUAGAUAUACUAGCUCUGUCCGUCUGUUU
rnacentral:lncRNA from 1 species